rnacentral:lncRNA from 10 species
GCAGUUUAAAUCACAGACAUCUAUUCUUUUAUUUCACAUUGGGAAAAUUAGGGCAUGAAGGCGCUGGGGAGGCAAACGAUGGGGAAUUGCUGCUGAUAUGCACUUACUGACAAAAAUGCUAAACUAACUUCAUCUUCCUAACACAAAAGAGAUUCCUGCAAUUUGGUUUCUGAGAGCUCAGUUACCAAAUCCAAAAUUAGGAGAGAUGACGGCUGAGCCGAGCCAUUUGCAUUUCCAGAAGGGCUGCUUUUGUGCUUGGCAGCAAGAGUGGGGGAUCAGUAGCAGCCCCAGCUACAGGGAGCCAUCGGGUAGGGCUGGCAGAGCGUCGCUUAGGGAGAUUCUGCAAGAAAGCUCCAUCAUGUGGCCCCCACACCUCGCCAAGCCACCUCAAGCCCACCCAGGCCCCACACUCCUUGCUGCCUGUGAGGGCCCUACACUCCCAGGCAGUGUGGUGUGUAGCUCAGGGGGCCUGCAGCAUCUCCACGGGGAGGGGGUGAGGGUACAGAACUGAGGCUAGAGGGACAAUGCCCACAGCAGUCACAGCUGCCUAGGACCCCGUUUCCCUCCCACCAGAUUCUCACUCAGAGCAGUGAGGUCCUGAGUCAAGCCUCGCAUGAGCAAGAAAAGGAACUCAAGAAGAACUCAGGCCCCAGGUGAGAGCCUUGGCACCCACCCCACCCCCAGCUCUGCCCUCAGCAUGGUGAUACACAUUGACCCCCUGGCUUGGUGGAGGCAGUCUCUGUCCUGUUUUGUUUUUGUUGUUUGUUUUUGAGACGGAGAUUUGCUCUGUCCCCCAGGCUGGAGUGCAGUGGCAUGAUCUCGGCUCACUGCAACCUCCGCCUCCUGGGUUCAAGCAAUUCUCCUGCCUCAGCCUUCUGAGUAGCUGGGAUUACAGGCGUGAGCCACCAUGCCCGGCUAAUUUUUGUAUUUUUAGUAGAGACGGGGUUUCUCCAUGUUGGCCAGGCUGGUCUUGAACUCCUGGCCUCAAGUGAUCCUCCCGCCUCGGCCUCCCAAAGUGCUGGGAUUACAGGCGUGAGCCACCGCACCUGGCCUGUGCUGUUUUAAAGAGCAGCAUUCCAAGAAGAACAUCCUGCCUACAAAUUCCAGGUCUGGCUGGUGGCUCCAUCAAGGGAGGGGUGUGGGCGUGGACACCCAGACCACUCUAGCAGAGCCCUCUGACAGUCCAUGGGGCUUGAGCGUGGGCCUAUCCAAGCUUGGCGCUGGCGCUGGCUCUGGCCUGUCUCUAUCUGGACAGCCCACGUCAGGCUGUCCCAGGACACGCCGAUAUCAUACUACAAGAAGUGUGUGGGAGUGAGUCCUUCCUCCUGACCCCUUACAUCUAGUAACCAGUGGAGCUUCCACUGGCAGUCAACAAUCAGGGACAAAUACCACACCACUACCCCUAAGACCACCUCCUGCAACUCCACAUGUCCUCCAGCAGAGAAAGGUGGAUUUCAUAGAGAUUCCAAACUCGAUCCUGGUGUAAACUGAAGACAGGGGUGAUGGCAACCUCGGUCUGGCCUGAGAGCAAGACCUGCCACACAACGCCUUGGAGACCCUGCACAUGUCCUGCUGCCCCCAGAGGGGCCGUCAUCUGUCUCUGGAGAUGACCUUGCCCUGGGCUGGUUGCUCAAAUCAUCAGAAUCUCCACCCAUGGUAGGUCCAAGCCCAGCAGCUGCCAGAGCACCCUGAGCCCGCAGCUUCUUCCCAUCGACAGUGCAGGGGGAGGAUGGUGUUGAGAGCAGACCCUGUAGAUCCAGUGGGACUGGUGGGGAUGGGGAGUCCCACUGGGGGACUGAUGGGGGAUGGGCUUCUCUUGAGCACCUGCUCUGCACUGAGCACAGUGCAUUGCUUACCUUGUCACCAGAGGAGGGUAUCACAACCACUUCACACAAUAAGAACCCAAGAUUCAGAGAGGUUAGGUCACAAUGUUGAGGUCACACAGCUGGCAACAGGCAGCUCCCUCCCCACCCAGUGUAGGCCAGAGAAAGCGUCCCGUCAUCAGGACUCAACACAGCUGCCCUCUAGUCAGUCCAGGCUCUGAGGCAUGCAGGCUCUGCUUCCACCUGGAGGCUGCAGAGGCUGUGAACCCACUGACCACGUGGUACUGACAGCUCCUGGGACGAUCUAACACCACCUCCCAUUCCCCAGGGCAGGGCAGGUGUGUUUGAGGAUAAAGACCUCCUUGGCUGGCUGAGCCCCAAGAAGCUGAAGACGGAAGGCACGGGCGACACACAGACACAGGGAAAACAUUUGUCCUGGCUUCCCCAGCACAGGGGCAGAGGGAGGACCCUAUGGAAGCCCUCAGGAGCAAAUGGAAACUUGGGUGCCUGAGGCCUCUGAGUCCCAACAGAAGCAGUCAGUGGGGGCCAGCCAGAGGGAGGUGGGUGCAUGCAAGGGCUCUGACUGCCCUUGUUCCCCGACACCCUGAACAGCUGCAAACAGGGGGGUCCUGGCCUCAGAGGCAAUCCUGGCAGAGGCCGUCCCAAGUCACCAUUCUCAUUCUGUUUGGGCCCUGGGGAUGGGAAGAUUGAUUAAGUGUCAUCCAGCAUAAGCCACUCCUGCAACAAGUGCAAUGAAGUCAGGUUUAAUUUUGAGAUUCCUGUGCCCUCACUCACGCAAGGAGGAAGUCACCUGGCUCCA